AUUGAACGCUGGCGGCAGGCCUAACAAAUGCAAGUCGAACGAGUGGCGGACGGGUGCGUAAUGUCUGGGAAACUGCCUGAUGGAGGGGGAUAACUACUGGAAACGGUAGCUAAUACCGCAUACCAUCAGAUGUGCCCAGAUGGGAUGAGCUUGGUGGUGGGGUAACGGCUCACCCAGGCGACGAUCCCUAGCUGGUCUGAGAGGAUGAAGAGCCCACCUGGAACUGAGACACGGUCCAGUCUCCUACGGGAGGCAGCAGUGGGGAAUAUUGCAACAUGGGCGCACGCCUGAUGCAGCCAUGCCGCGUGUAUGAAGAAGGCCUUCGGGUUGUAAAGUACUUUCAGCGGGGAGGCGUUACCCGCAGAAGAAGCACCGGCUAACUCCGUGCCAGCAGCCGCGGUAAUAC
rnacentral:rRNA from 1 species